GAUGAAGGACGUAGCGAAAUGCGAUAAGUAAUGUGAAUUGCAGAAUUCAGUGAAUCAUCGAAUCUUUGAACGCACAUUGCGCCCCCCAGUAUUCUGGCGGGCAUGCCUGUUCGAGCGUCAUUUCAACCAUCAAGCCCUGCUUGUGUUGGGGUCCUGCGGCUGCCCGCAGGCCCUGAAAACCAGUGGCGGGCUCGCUAGUCACACCGAGCGCAGUAGCACAUCUCGCUCAGGGCGUGCGGCGGGCUCCAGCCGUUAAAGCACCCACCUUUCGCAAGGUUGACCUCGGAUCAGGUAGGAAUACCCGCUGAACUUAAGCAUAUCAAUAAGCGGAGGA
rnacentral:misc_RNA from 1 species